GAUUCAUCUGAAUGAAAAUCUGAACAUUUUGGAUUUCUUCCAUAACCGAAUAAACCACUGCUAAGCUCCUCAGAAGAUUCAUUUCCAGAGGGAUAUUAGUCUGGUCGACCAGCUGCCAAAAAGCCAUGCAGAUGGGAUUUUCAAAUAAAUACCAGAUGAAAGGAAAAGGCAAUAUAAGAAUUGGAAACUCAUGGCAAAAAUAAAGGGUCCAAACCUCAGAGCUGUAUUUGUGUCUUCUGUAGGAUCCUAGGGAUCAGAUCGUCAGCCUGAGAUAAACCCCUUUCUGCUGCUAUUGUGUGUGGGGCACACAACAUCAAACUGAAGGAAAAAAAUGUCAUUGUUUUUUCCUCUGAACAAAAUUCCAUUCCCACCUGGUAUCAAUCCAGAACUCCUACCUUCUGUCAUAUUCUGGAAAUGUUUUGGCUCCAGAGCAGCAUGAAUGAACACCCUUCUGUCCUCCUUCCUACUGUCUCCAUCUUACUUUACCUCUGCUGGGAGAAUGAGCCCUUCAGUACUGUGUAAUAGACACUCAAAACUCAGUAAUGAAAGACAAAUCUUUGUCCCACUAAGAGCAAGGUGCUUUGGCUAAACACAGAUUUCUUGUGUAAAACUGUAUUUCUUCAUUUAAAUGCUUAUGAUCACAUACCAUGUUCUCACACUGCUAUGAGGUGGGCUUUCACAAAGAACAUCUAGGGGAGCACCAAAAAUAAGUGAAAAAUAAAAAGCAGUCUGCAAAAGGAUGAGCUCUUUGAAUUUCUUCCAAGUCCAUGAAUGCUGCAUGAUAAGCCCAUAAGGGGGUUUUCGGACAUUGUGUGGCCUGAUCUUUAGUGGGAAAUAACAUCUGUUUGGAGACAUCUCCAAACUCUCACUACAAGAGACAUCCACUCUGAUUAAUGCGAUUAUGUGUAUGUGUCAAUAAAGUAGUAACCACUACAUUAAAGCCUUUGUAAAAAUCCUGAGAUAAUUUAAUUGAAAUAAUUUAUGAUUUAAAAGAAUAAUAAUUUUCUGUUAAUGAUCCCAUGGACAGCUGGAAGGUCUCCUUGCAAAUUCUAAUCCCAAGAUAACUGGAUUCUUCUCUGGAUUCCUAGAAGAAAAGAAGGAUAUAUUUCUAUGGCAAGUCAACUUUUCAGUGAAAAUCUCAGCUUCAUGAUGCUCGGAGAAUUGGAAUGUGAAAGGAAGUAUUGAAGGGAGAAAUUAGUUAUCAGAAUCUGCAUGCAAUGCUCAGAAAGGUGUAAAACAACUCAUAAUGGGAAAAGCUCUGACACUUACUUGGUGUUUAUUUAUACACUUAAUUCUGUCAUACCAGAUCUUUCCCAAAUAUGUGUACUUUGCUGUGGAUACAGAUUUUACACGGAUACUUCUUGUGUCCCCUCACAAAGCACAGGUAUGUUAAAUAUCCUACAAUUGGAGCCAGCACUACGGUCUAAGUGCCUGCGUUGUGUCACAGAAGAAACUGUACUGUUUAAAUGAAUUAUUAGCGCCGUCUCCUACUGACUCAAGCACAUGCUGUUAUACAGUCAGUGGUAACACACAAAACAUAUUCUGUAUUUGCCUUCCUCAAAAACAAAUACUUAAUGUGUUUCUGCUAAUGAUGAGGAGUGGCAACCCAGCCCUAAGUCGCUGGUGGGGCUCUCAUUUACUUUUUUGAUAGAGUCACAUGUAACUAAAUAGAGUCACAAUAACAGAGACUUUGGAAGUAAAAUCUGAGCCUCAUUCUUCUGCUGCCUGGACCAUCUUUUCCAUGCAGCAGCCUCACCAGUGAUGAAGACAAACUUUCUCAAGUGGUUCUCUCUGCAAGCCCACUUGUGCUGCGAAUGGAAAGCUUUUCUGCUUUUCAAGAGGAAACGGAUCUUUACUUUUAAGCACUUCCCCCCUUUGCUACCCCACCCCACCCCACCCCCA